rnacentral:rRNA from 1 species
AUUGAACGCUGGCGGCAGGCCUAACACAUGCAAGUCGAGCGGGGUUUUCGGACCUAGCGGCGGACGGGUGAGUAAUGCGUAGGAAGCUACCCGAUAGAGGGGGAUACCAGUUGGAAACGACUGUUAAUACCGCAUAAUGUCUACGGACCAAAGUGUGGGACCUUCGGGCCACAUGCUAUCGGAUGCGCCUACGUGGGAUUAGCUAGUUGGUGAGGUAAUGGCUCACCAAGGCGACGAUCCCUAGCUGGUUUGAGAGGAUGAUCAGCCACACUGGAACUGGGACACGGUCCAGACUCCUACGGGAGGCAGCAGUGGGGAAUAUUGGACAAUGGGCGCAAGCCUGAUCCAGCCAUGCCGCGUGUGUGAAGAAGGCCUUCGGGUUGUAAAGCACUUUCAGCGAGGAGGAAGGGUGGUGUGUUAAUAGCACAUCAUUUUGACGUUACUCGCAGAAGAAGCACCGGCUAACUCUGUGCCAGCCGCCGCGGUAAUAC